AUUUUUCAUGUUAUUUUUUAUAGGGUCUCUGGAUUACGUAGAGAAAGCGAUGAGCUGUUUUUGAAAGAAAAAGUGCCACCUCUUUCACUAGAACUUGUGAACAAUUUAUGCCUUGACUCAUUAAUAUGCAGUCUUGUGAGUACUCGAGAUGAGCUUAUGGUUACCACUCUAGAUGGUAAUUUUUGGCGGGUAAGAUGAGAUGCCAAAUUAGAUGAGGAUUACACUCUAAUUUUAUACAAUAUCUCAUUUCGCUUAGAUCAGCUGCAAUCUAGAGGGAAGGAUUGAUGAAAUGUGUUCAAGAACUUUCUGUUGAGAUAGAAAACCAAGCCUCACUUCAUGAAACUGAGUUGCAGAUGCUUCAAGAUCAGUUAAAUCAUUAUAAAAAAUCUGCUGAUGACUUACAAAAGAAGACUAUUGAUUUGCAAAGUGAUAUCUCCUCUCGUAGUAACGAUACAGCUAGAUUUUCAAAAAAGAUUUUAGACUUGGAAGGCCAACUAUGCAUAAUUAAGGAGGAAGCUGCAGCUCACAUCACUCAAAUAUCUUCAUUAAAAUCUAGUAAUUUAAAACUAACACUUUCCCUUGAAGAAGCAGUGAAAAAGUGUGAAAACUCUGAGAAAUCAAUCAAAGAACUUUACAAUGAAAAAUAAAGUGAAAAAGCUAAAUAUGAUCAUGAAAAGAUAAAAAUGCAAGAAACUAUUUCCCAGCAGGCAAAACUUAUUGAUUUUCUCCAAGAGAAAACUGAGAAUAUGGAAAA